UUUAGACUUAUGCGGGUCGCGUCGGUUUAGAUUCAAACUCUCCAAAAAAUAAUUUUGAAGCGUGAAGGCCCUUCUUUGAGUUCUUUCUCUCACAGCUUCAAAACCUAGCCUCUAUCGUCUCUUCGGUGAAUUUGGCGGAUUUGGCAGCCACCGAUUUGAAAGACAUCACUUGUUCUUUCAAUUUUCAAGUUUUGCAGAGUUGAUGGAUGAGAACCCGCAUCGCGCAAACCUCAUAUGUAAACAAUACAAUGAAUAUUUAUCGCUUUCUGACGAAUCGGCGAUUUGGUCGCAGGUUUUGAUUCAAUCAUACUUCAUAUGUCUCGAAAUUGUUUGGGCUCGCACAAGGUCGGUCGGAAAAGAAGUAUUUGUAUUUAUGCUUGUUGUGUUUAGAUUGUCUUUAGUGAUGUUCAAGGAUUUCAAGAAAUUUGAAAAUGCCAGUGUGAAGGAGUAUGUACACGUUUGUGCUAAUGUCUGUGGUUCUUCUCUCAAAUGCCUUGGUUAGUUUCCUUUGACUCUAUAUUUAAACAUGUUAGAUUUUUAGGGCAAUUCUUUUGGGGAUUCUCUUGUAUUAUGGAUGUAAGAGAAAAUAUUAAAUUGAUGGAUGUAUUCAUCUUCUUUGAAUGUUUUAGAAAUAUUUCUAGAGUAUUGGACGUGUGAAACAGUUUCUAGAUGUAUUCAUCUCCUAUGAAUGUUUUAAAAACAUUUCCAGAGUAUUGGACAUGUGAAACAUUUUGUUUUACUAGACAUAGAUGUGGCAAAUUAUUUGCAUUGUUGAUGUGUUAAUGCAAUGUAUAGAAGAAUAACUUUGUUUUCUAUAACUUAAAAAAAAAGGAACAUCUUUCGUUUCCGAGUGAUCAGAACAAUUAUAGGAAUGUCUCAAAUCUUUGGUAAUGCCUCUAAUUUACAAUUUUUAAGAUCAGUCAUUUUUUUCUAGAUAUUGUAAUGGGCUUUUUAAUAGUUUUGGGUGUAAUUUGAAAAUUGGUUGUGUUGAAAUUGUGAAGGAGCCUGAUUGGAUUACUAGUAGAUGUUAAGCAUGUGGCACACAUUGGGUGGGAUGGCCCCUUCGAUACUGCACCUAGUUGGGUACAUAUUAUUGAAUCGCCUCAUCUAAAGGUUCUGCUCUUUCUCCAUGGUCAUGUUAAGGUUUAUUGAGAAAUUGUAUCCAGACAUUCCCGGUGAACUGGUCAAGAAACAGUUAACGGGGCUAUAUAUUAUCUAUUACCUAGUCCACCUUCCCAACACAUCAGGGUGAUUUCAUUGCUAUAAGCUGCAUAACUCAUAGGCAGGCUUGCUAAUAAUCAGCUCAGAGUCUUGUAUUCUUUUAUUGGAUUUUCCUUGAAUCGCUGGUACUCUAUUCUUUAUUUAUUCUUUUGCUGAAUGCUUGUAAAUUGAAAAUUACCUAGUUUGGAUUUCGAUGAACGGUAAAUUUUGUUACAUUUGUGUUUUUGUAAAAUAUUUUGGAUUCAAUAUUACAUCGAUUGACACUACAUGUUUAAUUAAUUUAUAGCCUAUGGCAUUUUUAUAUUAUUUUGAAUAAGGUUAAAAAAAUUACUACAAUAUAAGCAAAAAAUAAAA